GACGGAGGAUGCAAGUGUUAUCCGGAAUCACUGGGCGUAAAGCGUCUGUAGGUGGUUCGAAAAAGUCCACUGUUAAAAAAUUGAGGCUUAACUUCAAAGAUGCCGUGGAAACUUUCAAACUAGAGUAUGGUAGGGGUAGAGGGAAUUUCCAGUGGAGCGGUGAAAUGCGUAGAUAUCGGGAGGAACACCUAUGGCGAAGGCAGCUCGCUGGGACGUUACUGACGCUGAGACGCGAAAGCGUGGGGAGCAAACAGG
rnacentral:rRNA from 1 species